GAUGAACGCUAGCGGGAGGCCUAAUACAUGCAAGUCGAGCGGUAACUUUCUUCGGGAAGCUAGAGCGGCGCACGGGUGAGUAACGCGUACAUGACCUGCCUUUAAGACCGGGAUAGCCCUGGGAAACUGGGAUUAAUACCGGAUGUGAUAAUAGAUAUAAAGAUUUAUUAUUAAAGUUACGGCGCUUAGAGAUGGAUGUGCGUCUGAUUAGCUAGUUGGUAGGUAACGGCCUACCAAGGCUACGAUCAGUAGGGGCGUGAGAGCGUGGCCCCCCACACGGGUACUGAGACACGGACCCGACUCCUACGGGAGGCAGCAGUAAGGAAUAUUGGUCAAUGGACGAAAGUCUGAACCAGCCAUCCCGCGUGCAGGAUGAAGGUCCUAUGGA
rnacentral:rRNA from 1 species